rnacentral:lncRNA from 1 species
GGAGUCGCUGGGUAAUGCGCCAUGUGAGGCGCGGUGGGACUGUCGUUCCUGGACCAACGCCGAGACUUCCUAAAUCCCUCCGGAAAGGGAUGCGUUGGGCCUGUGAUCUGGCGACUAGGAGGGUCAGGAGUCCCAGUAGAGGGAAUCACGGGAAAAGAAUGAAAGAGGGAGGCGAGCCUGGCACGGCUUCCUGGAGAAACAAACUAAGCUAACAAAUUUUUCGGAUCCUUUGUGCAGCUAAUUUUACAGUACUGUUUCAUACAUCUUAUUAUAUUUGGACAUCACGGCCUGUUGAGUGGUCUCCCUCUCUGCUGCAAGCUCUGCUGUAAUCCAGAGACACUCAAUUAUCUCUGUAGGAUAAUUUAUUCAUUCGAUUAACAUACAUUACUACUAACUUUUUAUAAACCAGUACUGUUCCAAGCACCGGAGAUACAUAGCUAUGAACGAAACAAAUAUCCCUGCUCAGGGAAUUCACAAUAGAGUGAGGGGAAAUAAGCGAAUAAACAAUGAACUAUGGAAAUUAUGUUAGACAAAAAACAAAUGCAAGCAGUUUUCUUAUUCGAGUUCAAAAUGGGCUGCAAAGCAGCAGAGACAACUUGCAACAUCAAGAGUGCAUUUGGCCCAGGAACUGCUAAUGAACGUACAGUGCAGUGGUGGUUCAAGAAGU